rnacentral:rRNA from 1 species
GUCCUGGCCGUAAACGAUGUCCACUAGAUCGUAGUGCCUCUGACGGUAUUACGGUCGAAGCCAAAGUGCUAAGUGGACCGCCUGGGAAGUACGGUCGCAAGGCUAAAACUCAAAGAAAUUGACGGGGGCUCACACAAGCGGUGGAGCAUGUGGUUCAAUUCGAAGCAACGCGCAGAACCUUACCUGGGUUUGACUCGCUAGGAUUAUCCCGAUGAAAGUCGGGUAGGCCCCGCAAGGGGUACAACUAGUACAGGUGCUGCAUGGCUGUCGU